CAUGUGAUAGAGGCGAUGCUCUCUGUUCUCACCAUCUGCAGGGAAUGCUGCUUGCCAGUCACCUACGGCGGGAUCCAAUUUGAGCAGACUGCUGCAGAUCUGUUUCUUCAGUUGCAACUGAAGUGAAGCCAGCCUGCCUACCCCUUGUUCCUCUGUGUCCUCAGUAUCCAUUAACUUUACUGUAAGGGCUAACAGCCACCUUUCUUCCCCUUAAAUUCCAUAUAGAAAUAGACACAAGGACACGCAAAGCUAGUCAAGAUCUUAUCUUUUCACAGUGGAUGUGCCCACAUCCCCGGGGUGGUUCCUGCCUGGGGACAAUGCGAUGCACCCCUCGUAGUCCAACAGCCCGCAGAGAUGGGUAUGCAAGAAGUGACUGUCAGAAGAAAGCUGUGACGUCACAGUAACCCAGCUGUCCCAAUUUCAUUCAUCAGGUGUGUGCUGAGGAUCUGCUGGGUAACUGUUAAUCAAGUGGUCUGGAUCCUGGGCACCUUUGGAAGUGGAGCUUGAAGUCAUCGUAGCUUAAAAGCAGUGAAAAACGGGCAUACUCCCCAUGCACUCCGCGCUCCCUCUUAGCUCUGGAGCACAGCUGAUACCUGAAGAAUUGAAUUUCAUCAUGGGAUCUGGGUGCAAAAACUUGAAACCAAUCAGAGGAGACAGAAGUCAAAUUACAGUUUAAAACAUGGGAAAAGUCCUUGACCAGCACACUUGAAACAUUAUCAAGCUUUAGGCAUUUAUUUCUAAUGGUUGAAGAAUGAGGCUAGAAACUCCAUCAUGCAGGAGUACAAUAAACAUGGGAAAAAUGA